CUCUGUGUUCUGUCAAUGAGGAUGCACCAAAAGAGGUCACUUUCAAAUUUAUUGUUGUAAUAAAAUUUAUUGACCUGUGAUCAGUGGAAAUGAGAUUAUACCAGCCCUUUCUUUUGUGAAAUAUAACUUUCCAAAUAUUAUAAAAGCUAGAAAGUAAAAUAAAUAUUUUUGUGUAGGGGAAAGUAGAUUCUUCUGACCUACCAUGUUGGGUUUCUUACCCUUGCUUCUAUAGUCAGAGUCCUUUUGGCUGUAUGUAAUGAUAGAAGGAAAGAGAGGGCUUGAGAAUAUCAUUAUAACUGAGUGGUUACUGCAGAAGACAAGAAAUUAUUCCUUACCUAGUAAAAAUAACUAGCUACCUAGAAUUUGCAUAAAGGCAACUGAGUUAUCUGCAAAUUUGGUAUGCCCAGGGAUGCUAAACGAAUACAAUCGAUACCUCAUGAAGAUGUCUGGAUGUUAUAGGAAUAAUGUUGCAGACAAACAAUAUUGUAGAUAGAAUAAAAAAUGUUUUCAGAAGUGGUCUGUCAAUCUUAAUGCAAGUUCUAUACAAUGUAGAGUGCACCACUGUACUCCACUGUUGGCUCUUAAUACACUUUGUUUCACCCUGCCAAGGAAAUAGUUAUGAGUAAGACCUCAACUUGGAUGCCAGUCUAUUCAAGAUACUUCAAAAUGAUCAAGAUUCUAUUGAGUGAGAUUCAGAAUUGUGUGAAAACAGGCCCUUAACGAAGGGCCCUUCAGUCUCAGAUAGUAAGAAUCAAUGUCGUGUCCUAACAACCUAUCUGAGAUCUUUAGUAACUUGAUAUGACCAUUUGUGGCUGUAUACAUAUUAUCCUGGUAUGAAAAUGAGAAAAGGUAUCAUUUGCUUUGGUUGAUAAUAGGGUUUAUUCCUUCAAUAUAUAUUUGAGUGCAUAUUAUGUAUUCUACACUGAUGUCAGCUGACAUAAAUCAGUCAAAACAAAAUGAAACCAAAAACAAAUGCAAAAGUCAAGGCCCCGAUAUUAAGAAGAAUGCAUUAUAAACUUGUUACCUAGUAGGCAUACUGUAACAUGUCAUUAGAGUCACAGAUAAAAGAUUUAAACAGAAUUUUAAUUUCAUUAGCAACUUUGUUGAAUGUUCUCAUCUCUAGUAAUUUUCACAUGUAUUAUUUUAGGUUUCUAUGUAGAAAAUCAUAAAAACUGCAAGUAAUGGGAAUUCUAUUUCUUUAUAUCCCAUCCAUGUUUAUUUUACUACUAUUUUCCAUUUCAUUUUACCAUAAUUUACAAAAAUUGGCAUAAAUUCCUUUGGAAUCAAUUUGUUUUCUUCUUUUUUUUUUACUUUUGACAUUUUAAGUAAAAUAUGAUACACACACAAAAGUGCACAAAACUACACAUAUAACUCAAUAAAUUACCACAAAGAGAACAUAUUUGUAGCCAUCACCCUGAUCAAGAAGCAGAAUAUCACAAGAACACUGAAACCAUUAGACCCUUUCCAAUUAUCA
rnacentral:lncRNA from 10 species